GAUGAACGCUGGCGGCGUGCCUAAUACAUGCAAGUCGAGCGAACAGACGAGGAGCUUGCUCCUCUGACGUUAGCGGCGGACGGGUGAGUAACACGUGGAUAACCUACCUAUAAGACUGGGAUAACUUCGGGAAACCGGAGCUAAUACCGGAUAAUAUAUUGAACCGCAUGGUUCAAUAGUUAAAGACGGUUUUGCUGUCACUUAUAGAUUGAUCCGCGCCGCAUUAGCUAGUUGGUAAGGUAACGGCUUACCAAGGCGACGAUGCGUAGCCGACCUGAGAGGGUGAUCGGACACACUGGAACUGAGACACGGACCAGACUCCUACGGGAGGCAGCAGUAGGGAAUAUUCCGCAAUGGGCGAAAGCCUGACGGAGCAACGCCGAGUGAGUGAUGAAGGUCUGCGGAUCGUAAAACUCUGUUAUUAGGGAAGAACAAAUGUGUAAGUAACUAUGCACGUCUUGACGGUACCUAAUCAGAAAGCCACGGCUAACUACGUG
rnacentral:rRNA from 1 species